ACGAACGCUGGCGGCGUGCUUAACACAUGCCGGUCGAACGGAAAGGCCCUGCUUUUGUGGGGUGCUCGAGUGGCGAACGGGUGAGUAACACGUGAGUAACCUGCCCUUGACUUUGGGAUAACUUCAGGAAACUGGGGCUAAUACCGGAUAGGAGCUCCUGCUGCAUGGUGGGGGUUGGAAAGUUUCGGCGGUUGGGGAUGGACUCGCGGCUUAUCAGCUUGUUGGUGGGGUAGUGGCUUACCAAGGCUUUGACGGGUAGCCGGCCUGAGAGGGUGGCCGGCCACAUUGGGACUGAGAUACGGCCCAGACUCCUACGGGAGGCAGCAGUGGGGAAUAUUGCACAAUGGGCGGAAGCCCGAUGCAGCAACGCCGCGUGCGGGAUGACGGCCUUCGGGUUGUAAACCGCUUUCGCCUGUGACGAAGCGUGAGUGACGGUAAUGGGUAAAGAAGCACCGGCUAACUACGUG
rnacentral:rRNA from 1 species